GAUGAACGCUGGCGGCGUGCCUAAUACAUGCAAGUCGAGCGAACGGACGAGAAGCUUGCUUUUCUGAUGUUAGCGGCGGACGGGUGAGUAACACGUGGAUAACCUACCUAUAAGACUGGGAUAACUUCGGGAAACCGGAGCUAAUACCGGAUAAUAUUUUGAACCGCAUGGUUCAAAAGUGAAAGACGGUCUUGCUGUCACUUAUAGAUGGAUCCGCGCUGCAUUAGCUAGUUGGUAAGGUAACGGCUUACCAAGGCAACGAUGCAUAGCCGACCUGAGAGGAUGAUCGGCCACACUGGAACUGAGACACGGUCCAGACUCCUACGGGAGGCAGCAGUAGGGAAUCUUCCGCAAUGGGCGAAAGCCUGACGGAACAACGCCGCGUGAGUGAUGAAGGUCUUCGGAUCGUAAAACUCUGUUAUUAGGGAAGAACAUAUGUGUAAGUAACUGUGCACAUCUUGACGGUACCUAAUCAGAAAGCCACGGCUAACUACGUG
rnacentral:rRNA from 1 species